UUUAAUGAAGAGUUUGAUCCUGGCUCAGGACGAACGCUGGCGGCGCGCCUAACACAUGCAAGUCGAACGGAGUUAUUUUGACAGAAGCCUUCGGGCAGACGUUGAUAUAACUUAGUGGCGAACGGGUGAGUAACACGUGAGCAACCUGCCCUUCAGAGGGGGACAACAGUUGGAAACGACUGCUAAUACCGCAUAAGACCACGGUGUGGCAUCACACAGAGGUCAAAGGAGAAAUCCGCUGAAGGAUGGGCUCGCGUCCAAUUAGCUAGAUGGUGAGGUAACGGCCCACCAUGGCGACGAUUGGUAGCCGGACUGAGAGGUUGAUCGGCCACAUUGGGACUGAGACACGGCCCAGACUC
rnacentral:rRNA from 2 species